rnacentral:SRP_RNA from 1 species
GCUGGGCAUGGUGGCACAUGCCUGUAGUUCCAGCUACUUGGGAGGCUGAGGCAGGAGGAUCACUUGAGCCCUGGAGAUCAAGGCUGCAGUGAACAGUGAUCAUGCCACUGCACUCUAGCCUGAGUGAGAGAGUGAGACUCUGUCUCAA